rnacentral:lncRNA from 10 species
UCUCAAUCUCCUCACCUCGUGAUCUGCCUGCCUCAGCCUCCGAAAAUGCUGGAAUUACAGGCGUGAGCCACUGCGCCUGGCCCACCCAGCCUAUAUUUCUGAAGACAGGCUAUAAAGGAGACUAACCAAGAAAACAACUUUACAAUGGCCAAGAGGGUGCAGAAAUUGAGUUAACUUAUAAGUUGAGAUCUCAUCAUGAUGCUGAUUUCCACACAAGAUCAUCUCACCCUGGACCCAUCUGACUAGGGAGUUAACUGCUGAGGCCACCAAAGGAGCUCAUUAUCCUAAGAUUUAAACUAUAACCAUGCUGUAUGGAUACCAAGGAGGGCCACAUCAUAGCUGAUGAGGUGCGGGGCAAGACCGUGAUCAGAAGACCCAACUAGGUCUGAAGCCACCUCCACCAUUACUACUUGUGUGACCUUUAGCCCAUGCUUAACGCUCAGAGUCCCAGGGUUUACUUCUGGAUUUUUUAUCAUUGUAAAAUAUACAUAAUAUUUAUUUUAACCAUUUGUAAGCAUACAAUUCAAUGGCAUCACAUUCACAAUACUGUGUUACCAUCACUAUGAUCCAUAACUUUUAUCAUCUUCAACAAAAAUUCUGUACUCAUUAAACUCCCCUCCCUCCCUCCCGUGAUUCCUGCUAAACUCUAAUGUACUUUCUGUUUCUAUGAAUUUGCCUAUUCUGGGUACCUCAUAUAAGUGGAAUCAUACAAUGGCUGUAUGAGGUAGUUUGUGUCUGGCUUAUUUCACUCAGCAUCAUGUCCUCAAGGUCCACCCAUGUUGUAGCAUGUGUCAGAAUUCCCGUUCUUUUUAAGGCUGAAUAAUAUUCCAUUGAGUGAAUAGACCACAUUUUGUCUAUCCAUUCAUCUGUCAACAGACACUUGGGCUAUAAACAAUGCUUGACUAUUGUGAAGAAUGCUGCUAUGAACAUUGGUUUACAAAUAUCUGUUCAAGUCCCUGCAUUCCAUUCUUUUAGAUAUGUACCUGAGUGGAAUUUCUGGGUCAUAUAGUAUUAAAUAGUACCA